UCCCUGGAGGUCCAGUGGUCAAGACACUGCACUGCCAGUGCAGAGGGCAUGGGUUCAAUCCCUGGUCGGGGAA
rnacentral:tRNA from 1 species